UCUGUGUGUGUGUGUAUUGGAAACUUCAAAAUGGAAAAAAAAAGGUGGGGGUUGGGUCAUCAUCUCUCGACCUCAUACUUCUUUGAGUUGCUUAACAAUUUUAUUGUUAAAGUUGCUUGAUUAAUACCAUGAACUUAUGUUUCUAGUAUUAUAAAAGUUGAAAUUCAAUGGAAUAGUCUUAUGUGGUGUCCAACCUGCAAUGAUGAUGGACAAAAGGUAUAAGAAGAAUCCUAAAUCUUUUUAAACAACACAAAUGCUUGUAAAUUGUUAUCAGAAAGUUGGCCUCAGCUUACUGGAAUGAUGUUUUCUCUUCCUUGCAAGUCUUCCAUCAGCUCUGAUGGGCCAGUUGUUUGUGCCCUGCCCUGAGAAUUAGUCAGGAAAUGGAAAUUGUUCAUUUAUCUUCCUUCUGAUCUGGAUAAGCACCUACUUAUGAGAAUAGCCAUCCAAAAUGAACAAGUCAUGCUAAUACUCCUCUUUAUCUGCUUUUUUUUAUAAUCGUUCAUCACAAAACUUUUUGUUUCCAUAGUUCCUCAUCUUAGCAAAUAUGUCUUUCUUCCUCCAUUUUCAACUCCCCCCAUCCCUCCCCCGAUGCAAAGAAGGAAAAAUUUAAAGGAAAUCCAAAUGGGUCAACAAAAAGAAAAUCAACUGUGAAGAGGCACCUCCCAUUAUUUCCGUGGUUGAUGGUCCACAUAGUAUAUAGGCGACAUUUUUUUAAGCAUCUUCAUCCUUUACAUUUGAAAACUGAGGAAAUGGCUAAUGUUUGAUGCAGGUGAUUGCACUGUAUUUGCGAUCCAAACUCAAGGAUGUUGAUGCUCAAAACAAACAUUCAUGGGAGACUUUUCCAGAAGAACAAGAUGGUCGGCCAGGUUUCAUAUUUUUGGAUGGAUCACCGAGCUCUAUUUACUUGUAAUGUCCCACGUUUUAGUUGAAACUUGGAACUCUGUUGUGAAACUUGGAACUUCAAUUUUUAAUUAUUUUGUUAUUGGAUGGAUCACUGAGGUUUAGUUACCUGUAAUGCCCCUCCUUUUUGGUGAGACUUGGAAAUUCUAUUUUUAAUUAUUUUGUUAUUGUUAUAAUCCUCCCUCUAAUUACUAAGUAUAUUUAUGCCAUCAUAUCCUUUAGUAACAAUUUUUGAGGUUUCGGGAAGAAUAUCCUCGUAGUUAUAGUAUUUUAUCCUGAAUAGAAUACAUGGCAUUACAUCUUUGAUUACAAGUUACACACCUAUCAAGCUGAAUGGGAGAAUAUUUCAAGAUAAAUUUUUUAUAGUGAAAUUAAUUCGUAUUUCUUGUUUUAACUUACGCUAUUGCUGUUCCUUUUUAUUUUUCUUAGAAGGGGAAAUUGGUUAUGUGAGAAUGUGGAAUGGAGUCCUUCCGAAGGACACUCGAAUUGUGGGCUGGUGUCCUGUUCCAAGUGACUUCGGUGCAAGGUCCUUCUAAGUGCUUAAUAAAGCGUUACUUAGAACUUAUUAACUAUACUGUGUUUGCAUAACCAGUCAUCUUAUUGUGAAGUGCAGGUUCAGCUGAUUGAGCAGGGAAUAUAAAUAUCACUUUUGGGGUGACAAUUUGAAUCUCUUGGCAUGCAGUUCUUUUAUUGUUAGUUUUUUUUUUUUUUUCUUAUUUGGACUUAACGUGUAACACAUCUAAUUUUAUGCUGCUUGCUAUGCAGCAAAAGUGCUCAACAUUAAUUCUAUCACCAUUUUUCAUGUUCCCCCUAGUUAUGGAGAGUGCAGGUAAGAAAUUUAUGGGGGAACAUGAUUUCAGAAACGCGCAAGACGGAUGCAGUCAAUGUGCAAAAUUGUAGGCGACAUGUGACAUCAUUUGAGAUCUCUCCUUGUGAUUUGAGGUCUGAAUUUGUAAAUCAUCUGGUCUGAUUUCGAUAUCAAAAUUAGUUUAUUCUUGUAUGCCAUAUGAUUUAUCUCUUUGUUUGCAUUGGCUGCGGCAGCCAGCAAGGUAAAAUCCCUUAAAAAUAAACUAGCCUUUCAUUCCUGAAAUUUUGUCAUGUCACUAAAGUUUGGUGGUUGUGUUAGUUGAGUGGUCGUGAUGCAUUUGUGAUGGAGUGUGCAAGAGAAAACAUCAUCAAUCUCUGGGUUUUAACUUGAAAGAUUAAGUGGUGGGAUGGGUCUAUCAAUUCAUUUCUUAUCUACAAAAAUUGUGAACAGUAAAAGAAAGGGUGCAACAAGCAAUAAGCUAAAAAUACAAAUGGAUAGACACGCAGUAUGCUGCCUGAUGGAACCCAUUUCUCAGUCAGGAUGAAAUAUUUGGUGCUGCAUGGUGACACUAGUGUCAUGGGGAGUGUUGGAUGGAUGAUUAGGAAGCUAAGCAUCAGAACCAUGUGAAUAAACGUGCUUGAAUCCAACUUAUGAAAUGAAACAGGAAUUCCUUUAUUUAUUUUGACCACUUCACUGAAAUCCCUUUAUGAAACUGCUUUGCUGGCAGUUAUUCAAAUUGAGACCUUACUAUUUCUUUUGCAGGUUUAAAGGGCAUCAACUUUGUGCUAUAAAAAUCAAAGGCAGUGCUUUCCUGUUGCACCAAGUUUGUUGCGUGGUUGCUGUGCUGCUUAUGAUUGGCCAAGCUCUUGAAUCCCCUGAUGUGAGUAUCAGUUGUCAUUGUAAUUGCAUGGUUCUUGUUCUUUAUUUGAUGCCUUUAAUCCAAAAAAUGAUUUUCUGCGUAGACAGGUUUAACAGCUUGCACUACUUUACAUUUGCUUUAGCUGAAUGUCCACAAAUGACAAGAAUAUUAUAACUGAACAAGAUGGCACCCACAAGGGGGACCAUUUGCACUGCUUUGCAGUUGCUCUGAACAAUCUACUGUGAUUUAUGCUGGCAGGGACCAUUUCGAAGCAACAUUCAGCAUAUGUUGGUAUACAGUAAAGCAUGAGGAAUCCUCUGUUUGAGCUAAAAUUUCCUCGCGAAUUGACAAUCCAGAUGAUAAUAUUUGCCUUUCGCUUUCCAGUUUACGACUUUGAGAGAAUACCAAGGUAACCCCAGUAUCUCACGGCUUCAGAAAUUCCAUUGGUUUUCUUCCUGUGAGUUUGAAGCUCUCAAGUUUGCAUGUUAUUCAGGUACUUGAAAUUCGAAAGACCAUUAAUAUAUUGUUUUCAAAUAUACUGUUUUCUAGAUGCUUAGUAGCUGAGAUUAAGCAAACUCCACCUUGUAACCUCCAACCUCUAAGGAGCUCAAUACAUGAAUUUAAUAUCUCAUAGCAGUAGUUUAGGCAAGUCAUGUACUUUGGAGUUCCAUCUCUUUUCCCUCAGUGCUUGCUGAAUUGGUAGCUAAUUUAACUGCGAUGUUUGAAAUCAUUUUUGUUAAGCGUUACUGAGUUUGUGCAUGGAUGCUGGACAAGCUCUGCAUGGCCACUUGGAGAAUGAAUAUCGGCUUUACCAACUCCGGGCUACUAUCUUUCACGAGGCUCUCUGUUGAGUCGUUUGCCUUUGUCAAAUGAUAAAGACUCAUCGAGUAACGGAGUGAUGAGAUAAAAAGCCUCUCAUGUCCCUCUCAUGUCA